UAAUUAGAAGAAGAAGAAGGUCGCAGCCUGGUGACGCGUUGGAUACUAAACAAUGCUGGCUGUAUUUUCAUGAAUGACAGUAUUUUACUUAACUAUACACUAUCCGAAUAUCCAGACUUUAAAACGGUCUAAAUUUUAAAGUUUCAGAUCAAAGAUGGAAGCUAACAGAAGAUAAAGCUCCAGGAAAACAACAGUUACCGUUAUCACUUUGUAGUCUCAAAUAUCUUGCCGUGAUGGCAUCGGAAGAUGAAAUAAAUCUGCUGGUCGUCGUCGUGGAUGUAAAUCCCAUUUGGUGGGGGCAGCAAGCUCAACGUGAGACAGAGCUCACCCUGUCGAAGUGUCUGGAUGCUGUCAUGGUUUUAGGAAACGCCCACAUUUCCAUGGCCAGGACUAACAGGCUGGCUGUCAUCGCCAGCCACUGUCAAGACAGUCACUUCCUAUAUCCCAAAAAGAGCUGGAGAGCGGGGGACAGCGGUGGGGAAGAUGCAUGCUCCAGUGGGGAUGGAAAAUAUGAACUCCUGGCAGUCGCCAAUAACCUUAUUGCUGAAGAGAUCAGGAAUGUUAUGUCAAAAGCUGAAGUGAAGGGAAAUUCAACGGAUACUUUUUUGGCUGGAUCCCUUGCCAAAGCUCUCUGCUAUAUUCACAGAGUCUCAAAAGACUUAGAAGCUGGACAGGAGAUAAAAUCAAGAAUAUUGGUGAUAAAAGCAGCUGAGGACUCUGCCCUCCAGUACAUGAACUUCAUGAAUGUCAUUUUUGCUGCUCAGAAGCAGAACAUCCUGAUAGAUGCCUGUGUGUUGGACUCAGAGUCGGGUCUCCUUCAGCAGGCUUGUGAUAUAACGGGAGGAUUGUACCUCAAGAUACCACAGAAAGUUGCCCUGGCACAGUACCUUUUGUGGGUGUUCCUGCCGGACUCUGAGCAGCGUUCACAGCUGGUGCUGCCACCGCCUGCACAUGUGGACUACAGAGCUGCAUGUUUCUGCCAUCGUAACCUCAUUGAGAUUGGCUACGUGUGCUCAGUUUGUCUGUCAAUAUUCUGCAACUUCAGCCCUAUCUGCACAACUUGCGAAACUGCCUUCAAAAUCCAGCUACCACAGAUGGUUAAGCCCAAGAAGAAGAAACUCAAACAGCCUACAUGAUUAUUGCUAUGUUUACAGUAGAUAGUUUUAUUUUUUUGAUAUUAAGAUUAUGCUAUUUUGCUUGCUAUACAUUUUCACGAGUUUCAGGUUUUCCAGUCAAUAAGAAUAUAUGCAAACAUUAAACAUAUAAAACGAACAUUUGCAUUUAUCACUUGUCUGAGUUUAGUUUGACCAAUGUUCAUAUUAAUAGAAAGAAUUGGCACACACACCUUUUAGUUGUUCAUGAUGUUGGGUAUAGGUCAUUUACUUAGCGUACUGUACAUGUAAAUGGAGUAACUGCUUUUGAAAAAGAAACUGGGCAUUUUUGUGAUGUACAUUUUUUUAUUUAAUAAAAAAAAACAGCUAGAUGUUCUUAGAAUUGUUUGUCACAUAUAUAUCCAUCCUUAUGUGUUAAGGUGGAAAUAUUUUAGUCCAGUAAAUUGUGUUCAGCUUUCAAACUGA